rnacentral:rRNA from 1 species
CAAACCAACUUGGACACAGGCAAUCUCAGCGGGUUUAAGAAGCUAAGCAGGAUCAGGCCUGGUCCAGACUUGGAUGGGAUUCCACCAGAGAACAGCAGGUC